ACGCUAGUUACGUACCAUUCCCAUCCUUUUCUUUUCUCCAUCUUUUUGACAAAUCAUUCCUAUCCUUCUUAAAACGUCUAUCCUGUGAUCCGCUAUUUGAUCAGGAGUAGCAUUGUAUUGCAGCACUUUUCACCAAGAAUAUGAAUCUCAAGGCUUUUAUAUUACUAGGCCUUCUGCUUGCAGCUACUGUUUUAGUCUCUUCGACUCAUGUGGAGGCUAGGACAUCCAAAGAUGAGAAAAAACAAGAAUCAAAUCCGGUAGGUGAUGAAAAGUAUGGCGGCGGCUAUGGAGGAGGCCAUGGUGGCGGCGGCUAUGGAGGAGGCCAUGGUGGUGGGCAUGGAGGAGGACAUGGAGGACACCGUGGUGGUGGUGGUGGUGGUGGUGGUUAUGGAUCCAAACCCUAGAUGAUCAUCACCAUUGCUCAAAAACUAAGUAUCUCUAUAUGGACUUGAAUAAUGUAAUAUAUAUGUAAGACUUGGUCAGUCUGAGAAAAUGAGAAUAAAGCAUGUGGUUCCAUGUACUGCAUGCAAAUUCCCAAAUUAAUGGGUCAGCAAAUGUGUUCAGCUCCUGGGGACAAAUGUUGACUCUCUUUGGGCGCAACAAAUCCGUGUAGCCUUCUUAUGUACUUGUCUCUCUCUCUAUAUAUAAUCCACAUAUAUAGUUUGUUUAUCA